GCUUGGAUAGCUCAGUUGGUAGAGCGUUUGAUUGAAGCUCAAAGUGUGGUUCGUUCGAUUCGGACUCUAAGC
rnacentral:tRNA from 1 species